UCCCGGAUUAAUGUGCAGAUCGUAGGCUU
rnacentral:sRNA from 1 species